rnacentral:lncRNA from 11 species
UGAGAAGGAAGGAUGGCCAUGGCCUGCCCACCUGCCGUUUACGUGGUUCUCUCUUGGUGGAUGCUUUCUCCUGAGGGAUCAAGAUGAUGUUUACCUACAAAGGUGCUUAAAGAAACAUCUGCUCUCACAUAAACUCACCAUCUCUUUGAGAUUUGCUUCAGAGGCUGGUUCCUGAUCAGAAGUGGGACGUCUGGAAUCAAGAAACAGAAACAAAAUCUUAUAAGUGUUGUAAAUCAUAGACAUAGUUCCAUAAGAACACUCAUCUAAUACCAAUUUUAUUUUAUUUUUCAUUUCAACAAAAGACCAUUUCAUUGACGUGAGCUUUGAUGUAGCCAUAUAUUUCCCUUUUGUAUGUAUGUAUUUCAUUUCUGUCCAAUGCCAGCUCAUUAAAUGACUUUUUGCAGGAUAUUCUUGACAAUAUAUGGUCACAAGAGGCUUGUUGAAAGAAUCUAACUUGCCGAAGAGUUUCCAUAACUGAGUUGGGUUUUUAACCCUGGUCUUUUGAAGCCAUAGUCCAACACUCA